rnacentral:rRNA from 1 species
AGGUGGCCGCAGAGAAUAGGCCCAAGCGACUGUUUACCAAAAACAUAGGUUUCUGCUAAGUCGCAAGACGAUGUAUAGGAGCUGACGCCUGCCCGGUGCUGGAAGGUUAAGGGGAUCUGUUAGAGUAAUCGAAGCAGUGAACUUAAGCCCCAGUAAACGGCGGCCGUAACUAUAACGGUCCUAAGGUAGCGAAAUUCCUUGUCGGGUAAGUUCCGACCCGCACGAAAGGCGUAACGAUUUGGGCACUGUCUCAACAACAGACUCGGUGAAAUUGUAAUUCCGGUGAAGAUGCCGGAUACCUGCGACAGGACGGAAAGACCCCAUGGAGCUUUACUGUAGCUUGACAUUGGGUCUUGGUACUACAUGUACAGGAUAGGUGGGAGGCUUUGAAACCAGGACGCCAGUUUUGGCGGAGCCAUCCUUGGGAUACCACCCUUGUAGUACUGGGACUCUAACCAUAGGCCAUGAAUCUGGUCUUGGGACACUGUCAGGUGGGCAGUUUGACUGGGGCGGUCGCCUCCCAAAAGGUAACGGAGGCGCUCAAAGGUUCUCUCAGUACGGUCGGAAAUCGUACGUAGAGUGUAAAGGCAAAAGAGAGCUUGAUUGCAAGACAUACAGGUCGAGCAAGGAUGAAAAUCGGACUUAGUGAUCCGGUGGU